rnacentral:rRNA from 1 species
GACGAACGCUGGCGGCGUGCUUAACACAUGCAAGUCGAGCGGAAAGGCCACUUCGGUGGUACUCGAGCGGCGAACGGGUGAGUAACACGUGAGUAAUUUGCCCCUGGCGUUGGGAUAGCCACCGGAAACGGUGAUUAAUACCGGAUACGACCACUUCUAGCAUGGGAUGGUGGUGGAAAGUUCUUUCGGCUAGGGAUGUGCUCGCGGCCGAUCAGCUUGAUGGUGAGGUAAUGGCUCACCAUGGCUUCGACGGGUAGCCGGCCUGAGAGGGUGACCGGUCACACUGGGACUGAGACACGGCCCAGACUCCUACGGGAGGCAGCAGUGGGGAAUAUUGGACAAUGGGCGGAAGCCUGAUCCAGCAACGCCGCGUGAGGGAUGUCGGCCUUCGGGUUGUAAACCUCUUUCAGCAGGGACGAAGCGCAAGUGACGGUACCUGCAGAAGAAGCACCGGCCAACUACGUGCCAGCCGCCGCAGUAA